rnacentral:rRNA from 1 species
GACGAACGCUGGCGGCGUGCCUAACACAUGCAAGUCGAGCGGAGCUAGUAGCAAUAUUAGUUUAGCGGCGGACGGGUGAGUAACGCGUGGGCAACCUGCCUUCUACAGGGGGAUAACACAGGGAAACUUGUGCUAAUACCGCAUAACAUACUUAAGGGACAUCCCUUGGGUAUCAAAGGAGCAAUCCGGUAGAAGAUGGGCCCGCGUCCGAUUAGCUAGUUGGAGGUGUAACGGACCACCAAGGCGACGAUCGGUAGCCGAACUGGGAGGUUGAUCGGCCACAUUGGGACUGAGGCACGGCCCAGACUCCUACGGGAGGCAGCAGUGGGGAAUAUUGCGCAAUGGGGGAAACCCUGACGCAGCAACGCCGCGUGAAGGAUGAAGGUCUUCGGAUUGUAAACUUCUUUAGUCGGGGACGAAGAAAUGACGGUACCCGAAGAAUAAGCCACGGCUAACUACGUGCCAGCCGCCGCAGUAA